UACGUAGGUGGCAAGCGUUGUCCGGAUUUACUGGGCGUAAAGAGCGCGCAGGCGGUCGGAUAAGUCGAAUGUGAAAGCCCCCGGCUCAACUGGGGAGGGUCAUUCGAUACUGUUCGACUCGAAGGCAGGAGAGGGAAGUGGAAUUCCCGGUGUAGUGGUGAAAUGCGUAGAUAGUCGGGAGGAACACCAGUGGCGAAGGCGACUUCCUGGCCUGUUCUUGACGCUGAGGCGCGAAAGCUAGGGGAGCAAACGGGG
rnacentral:rRNA from 1 species